rnacentral:rRNA from 1 species
UGGGGAAUAUUGCACAAUGGGCGCAAGCCUGAUGCAGCCAUGCCGCGUGUGUGAAGAAGGCCUUCGGGUUGUAAAGCACUUUCAGCGGGGAGGAAGGCGAUAAGGUUAAUAACCUUGUCGAUUGACGUUACCCGCAGAAGAAGCACCGGCUAACUCCGUGCCAGCAGCCGCGGUAAUACGGAGGGUGCAAGCGUUAAUCGGAAUUACUGGGCGUAAAGCGCACGCAGGCGGUCUGUCAAGUCGGAUGUGAAAUCCCCGGGCUUAACCUGGGAACUGCAUUUGAAAGUGGCAGGCUAGAGUCUUGUAGAUGGGGGUAGAAUUCCAGGUGUAGCGGUGAAAUGCGUAGAGAUCUGGAGGAAUACCGGUGGCGAAGGCGGCCCCCUGGACAAAGACUGACGCUCAGGUGCGAAAGCGUGGGGAGCAAACAGG